rnacentral:lncRNA from 1 species
CUCCUCCUUCACUCCGGCAGGCUCCUUGAGUAUUCCGGUAGUAUUCACCGACCAAUUCCCGUCCAAAGUGGUCCCGGAAAACAAGCUCCCGGCGUAGCUGGUGCUCCCCUCGCUCGACACUCUCUGCAGCGAAAUCUGCCGCUCGAUACCACUCUCAUUUGUAGGCUGCUCCGGCGGCGGCAGGAGGCGCUGCGUCGAUUCAUCUUCUUCCUCAAUAGCAUGGUCGUGAUCGUACGAUUUGAUCUUGGCGAAUUGGGAUUUGUCCCUGUGUUUCUUGUCGGAAAGCCACUUGACGAAGGCGGCGAGCUGCUCCCGUGAAUCUUGUCGCACGUGACUCCACCUUUAGGAGGGGAGUCCUCCUUGUCCUGAAUCUCAUCUACCACCACCUGCUUCUUCUCGUGAUCCGCCGACCAAGCUGGCGGUCCAAGGAAAUUGCCGCGGGAAAAAGUAAGUGGUUCGAUGCGGCAUCUUUUCUUGAUUAUCACGUGAUGUGUUUCGCUUCCUUUUCUAUCAAAACAUCCACGUCAACAACUUCAAGCACCCAAAAUCACCGCCGGCGAACUACAAUCCAAAUCACAUUCUCAUACACCAAAAACCAUAAGUGAUCGGCAACUCAUGCACAUUCAAACUCAUCAAAAAACUAAACAAGAAGAAGAAACAAAGAAAAUUCAAAAAAGAGACUCCCAACGCGAAGAAGAAGAGCAGAUGGAUAUGAAACACACGGAGCACACGCACUAAUGAAUGAAGUGAGAAAGAUGUGUAUAUAAUAUAUGCGCUGCCGUAGAAGAAGUAGAAAGAGCAUUAUACAUACUGUUGGGUUUCAGCCGACUAUUUUAAGCGCCAACUUGCGCAAACAUGAAUAUUUUUAUGGGCCUCGCGGCUAAACUACGCGCGGGUGUGGAUGCGCACCCUGCUUCGUAGUUUGCCACGUCGAGUUUGAAGGAGCUGGCCACGGGACACGUAAAUCUCCAACCCCGGCGUAUGUUAGCGGCUCUCGUAAACUAACGAGGAAAAGGACCAAUAGUGCUGCCUCCCUAUCGCAUUGGGAAAUACACACCAAAACCACAAUAUUAC